rnacentral:rRNA from 1 species
GACGAACGCUGGCGGCGUGCCUAAUACAUGCAAGUUGAGCGAUGAAGAUUGGUGCUUGCACCAAUUUGAAGAGCAGCGAACGGGUGAGUAACGCGUGGGGAAUCUGCCUUUGAGCGGGGGACAACAUUUGGAAACGAAUGCUAAUACCGCAUAACAACUUUAAACAUAAGUUUUAAGUUUGAAAGAUGCAAUUGCAUCACUCAAAGAUGAUCCCGCGUUGUAUUAGCUAGUUGGUGAGGUAAAGGCUCACCAAGGCGAUGAUACAUAGCCGACCUGAGAGGGUGAUCGGCCACAUUGGGACUGGGACACGGCCCAAACUCCUACGGGAGGCAGCAGUAGGGAAUCUUCGGCAAUGGACGAAAGGCUGACCGAGCAACGCCGCGGGAGUGAAGAAGGGUGUCGGAUCGUAAAACUCUGUUGGUAGAGAAGAACGUUGGUGAGAGUGGAAAGCUCAUCAAGUGACGGUAACUACCCAGAAAGGGACGGCUAACUACGUG